UAAUUGAGGACUGCCUGAGAGAGUUAUGAAGCCAGAGGACAACUAUAACAGAUUCUCUCAAGUCCUUUGGUUUCCAGGGAUGGAACUCAGGCCAGCAAACCUGGUAGCAAGCAUCUUUCUUUACUUUCUUAGCCAGUUCACCAGCCCCUGGUGUGGGUUUGUUGUUGCUGGAACAGGGUAUCCUGUAGCUCAAGCUGGUCUCCAAUCAACCAGGAGGCAGCAUCCCCAGGCUUCGAGUUGAGAACCCAUCACUGGCAGCCAAAAUCUCUGGCAACUGGAAUCACAGUAUGGGCAUAACAGCCAAAGUCGAGGAUCUGUGGCUGGAGACUCAACUUCAUUCCUCAGACCCCUGUUUGCACCUGAAGGGUGAGCAAAAGGCCAGUUCACCAUGUAGAGGCUCAGGGUGUGCAGAGCCAGGUGUGGGAGCCUGCGGGGGGCGGGGGGGAGGGACGACAUGGGGGGCGCCAUGCCUGGUGCUAGAUGCUAAGUACUGGAUGCCGGUUGCACGAUGAUGCCCUGCUGAGGGUGUGGGUG
rnacentral:lncRNA from 1 species